rfam:Bombyx mori DNA, contig: Bm_scaf205_contig41542, strain: p50T/Dazao, build 2, whole genome shotgun sequence.
UUAACGCAAAUUUGUAUAGAGUUGGAACAGUGUCCGUACGUUUGCCGCUAGGGGCGCUGUUCCAACUCCAUACGAAUUUGAGUUA